AAGUUUGGAAUGGCGAGUGAACAACCUAGCGUACCUUAUAUACCUCCUGCCAUGGUUCGAUAUCCCGCCACGUCUCUCCCACAACCUUUGGAGUUUUUUUUUGUGUGUUGGUGAUAAGGUUUUUUUUUUUUAUUUAUCAGGCCACAUUAAAAAGUAAUGCACUUACGAAAUCAAGUGAUUCCCAUUGUUCCCCCCUUAGCCACGAAAUUUUGAAAUAAUUAUUGGAAUAACGUACAAAUUGAAAUGGUUUUUCAAUUUUUAAUAGUCAAGAACAAUUUGUUUUUGUCGUUGUAAUUUCGAAUUGCUUCGUGUUAUACCUGUUUAAUCACUUAUCGUCUGUUUCUAUAUUCAGGACAUAUAACAACUCUCAUCUCGUCGAUGAGCAAAGGGAAGGAAUGAAUGCAUCCGCCGUGUACUCCGACUACCAUUCCGAUGAGUGUCGCAAUCAAAACAGCCAGUAAUACAGCACGGUGAGAUUGAUUAUUAGAAUUAACAUCAGGAAUGAGGUCCGUUCUAGCUCUUUGGAUGUAAAAAUAAGCUUAAAGGAAUAUGUAAUUAUGUUGGCGUCGCACCGAACCCCCACGAAAGGGGAGAGUUGUUUUUGCAUGCAAGAACCAACAGAUAUACUGAUAAAGUUCCCCACAGAUCCUGCGUAGAUUCAUAGACCUAUAAUCGCUCGACAAAUAUUUACAUCUUGAAGUUCAAAAACAGCAUGUUUAUCAACCAUUGUUUCGGAGCUUAGGUUUCGAUAUUUUACGAUAGCAGCCCUCCAACGCAAUUGCUGUGGACAUUUUACAGUCUAGACUGUUACACUCGAGCUUCAUAGCCUAGAUCUGUUCUUCAUAGGCAGCACUUUAUGUAGUUUUAAUUUUUAUGGAAUAUCGUCAGCCUAUGGAUAUUCCGUAAUUAGGAGAUCAUUUUACAAUUAAAGUAAAGAACAAACUCAAUCGGAGAAACUCAUUUUAUUCGAUCACUUGUUUGGACAGCAUUGAUGCAUACAUAAUUUGUAUUAUUAUUAUAUUGUGUAAUUUCUGGUUACUUUUCUGUCGACUAGAGAAUUCUGUCGUGCUAAAAAAAAAAAUAAGUAUUACGCGCAAACACUGGGAGAAACGAGAGAACCGUGCAAGAACAAAUCCACAUGUUGAAGAACAACAGUUAUCGACAAUACCGAACGUUUAACGUGUACACGUAUUAUUUCUCGUGCUUUUUGUGUUAUUUUAUGUGGCUACAAAAAUUGAUUCUCUGGUGUGACCUGUACCUGACUUUGUUUGUUCCUCCGUUCUAGGCGUUACAACUAACGCCAUAGAAAGAGCAUUAACAAGUUCCCGUAAAUGCACGAACCCCGUUAAAAAAUUUGCAAUUGUUUUAAAAACUCGCAUUUUGUGAUUAUAAAUUGCGAUGAAAGAUGGCGCUCUUGUAUUUUGUCUUCUGCUUGAAGUACGUGUAACUCAUGUGAAACCUAUGGCUACCUGUUUGCUAAGAUUUGUUAAUUGUGUUACAUCCAAUGGAAAGUUCGAUAUAAACAAACAGUGUGCCAUCUACUUUUCAAGGUCCGUCGUUUGUUUUUUAUUUAAGUGAAGCACAUCAAAUGGAGUAUUUUGUGAAAUGGGUAAAUCUUUAGAUCAGCUAUGCCAGUUCGAAAUGAAAAGUAACUUGUUUGCAGUCAAUCAAGCUAUUUCAUUGCUAAUUGAGAGCUCGUGAAACCUAAAUGGCUAAGGAUGCUGCCUGUGGAGAAAAGUCACAAAUGUCACAAAUCUUAUCGGUGUAAUCUGUUCAUCAAUUCGUGUCAGUUGUGAUUUGGCAAGUGAGCUACGUGUUGUGCUGGUAACCAUUUACCAUCAUCAUUUCAGCAAUGUUCUCAUCAUUUCUCAUGAGCCUAUCAAGUAGCAGGAUUUUGUGCUGAGGGUUUGCCAACCAACACACGCCUUCGCCUCACCCGUCGCCUCGUCCUUCGCCCCGUCUUCGCCUUGUCCGUCGCCCCGUCUUCGCCUCGUCCGUCGCCCCGUCUUCGCCUCGUCCGUCGCCCCGUCUUCGCCUCGUCCGUCGCCCCGUCUUCGCCUCGUCCGUCGCCCCGUCUUCGCCUCGUCCGUCGCCCCGUCUUCGCCUCGUCCGUCGCCCCGUCUUCACCUCGCCCGUCGCCGCGUCUUCGCCUCGCCUGUCGCCGCGUCUUCGCCUCGCCCGUCGCCGCGUCUUCGCCUCGUCCGUCGCCCCAUCAUCGCCUCGC